CACGUAAGGGGCGAGCGUUGUUCGGAAUUAUUGGGCGUAAAGGGCGCGUAGGCGGUCCUGUCAGCCCGGCGUGAAAACCUGGAGCUCAACCCCGGGCCUGCGCUGGGAACUGCGGGACUAGAGUCAUGGAAGGGAAGUUGGAAUUCCAGGUGUAGGGGUGAAAUCUGUAGAUAUCUGGAAGAACACCGGUGGCGAGGCGAACUUCUGGCCAAUGACUGACGCUGAGGCGCGAAAGUGCGGGGAGCAAACAGG
rnacentral:rRNA from 1 species